rnacentral:ncRNA from 1 species
UUCAUGCACUGGGGGAGCCGGCUCACGGCUGAGAAGAAUUGAAUUCUGACCCUUUGGACCCGAUCUGGUUAGUACCAGCGUGGGGAAGUGCAGUCUGAAUAAA